ACAAUUAGAUUAGUGUGCUCAAUGAGAGUACGACUCGGAGAGCGUUGGGUCAGGAAGUGUUCGCCCACGGAACGGUCCUAAGGCUCCGUGUUGUUGAAAAUUGAGCAUGAAUUUCAUGUUAUUGAGUUCUAAAAUGAGAGCAAACUACAAAAAACAUAAAUGUAACAAAUCUCGCUCUUGAAAGUAAGGUACGAUACUGUGCACGACUCUUUAAUUUCUUGGGUAUGAGAAUUGCUUUACAUGCUUUCACCUUUCCAGAGCUUGUUCGACGAGCUGUACGCACAUCAUGAAAUGCUCAAACCUUGAUACCGCAGGUUUGAGGACAUUGCAGACAUCAAGUAGCUUCA
rnacentral:lncRNA from 1 species